rnacentral:lncRNA from 1 species
AGAGAGAAAGAGAGUCUUUUUUGUCGUCGUUAGGAAGAGACAAUCUUGCAGGGGAUUUAAGAGAUAUGUGCGUCUCUCUCCCACCCCCUUUCCUCUGCUUAUGGAAAAUGAGCCAGGAACAAGCUGGACACAGGAGACAGAUGGAGGCCUUCUCUCCAACUGUUGACACCAGCCAAACAGGAUAAAUAGUUCAUAUUGUAAUGAUGACAAUGAUAAUGAUGAAGAGAAAGCAUUAACCCAGAUGAAAAAAAGUUUUGAUUUUAAGCUCUGCUUAAGCCCCGAAGUCCUGCUGUCAGAGCCACUUACAUGAUCCAAGGGACUUUUGACUACAAAGACGGGAAUUUAAGGUGAAUGAAAAUGGCCACUCCAGCCCCGAUUCAACAAUAGCCUUCAGUUCACAUAUCAACAAUUGUAAAAUGUGAAUCUGCCCACCAUUCUCAGAACUAACCGCCGCGAGUGCUGAGUGCCCUGGAAGAACAGAGGGAGAAGAGGGGCUAGAGCAGACAGAACGCUUAGAGGUUGCAAUGGGCAAGAGAGAGGGAAGGAAAGCGACGACAGAGAGCUGCCAGGGAGUCUAAGAGGCUGCAUCCUUCAGGCGGCGCGAGAAAGGGUCUUCAGCUCCAGAUCAAGAUUCCGAAGAGUUAAAUAUUACUACGCAGCCCGACCGGGAUGGGAUUUGCUUCUGGGUACAAAACGGGACACUGAUCAAAAUCAACUUGGACAAGUGACAAGACUGAGUCUGACGAUUGUGGGUGUCUUUUAAGGUCGUUGGAGGGGAGAGGAUGGGAGGCGGUGUGCUCAGGGGUAGGUGGAGGGAAGCAUCAAAUCCAGGGAUAUAAAGGGACACGGAGCCGGGAAACAGAGGACAAAAAUGCGUGGGGAAAGAGAGAGAGGAAGAGUUGAAGAAAAGUAAGGGGAAAGUAGGGACAGGGUUAAGGGGAGAGAGGAGGAUAAGAGAGAAGUGAGGGCGGCUAGGAGGGAUUAAAAAGGG